rnacentral:rRNA from 1 species
CCUACGGGCGGCAGCAGUGGGGAAUAUUGCACAAUGGGGGAAACCCUGAUGCAGCGACGCCGCGUGAGUGAAGAAGUAUCUCGGUACGUAAAGCUCUAUCAGCAGGGAAGAAAAUGACGGUACCUGACUAAGAAGCCCCGGCUAACUACGUGCCAGCAGCCGCGGUAAUACGUAGGGGGCAAGCGUUAUCCGGAUUUACUGGGUGUAAAGGGAGCGUAGACGGCAGCGCAAGUCUGGAGUGAAAUGCCGGGGCGCAACCCCGGAACUGCUUUGGACACGGUGCAGCGAGAGUGCAGGAGAGGUAAGGGGAAUUCCUAGUGUAGCGGUGAAAUGCGUAGAUAGUAGGAGGAACACCAGUGGCGAAGGCGGCUUACUGGACUGUAACUGACGUUGAGGCUCGAAAGCGUGGGGAGCAAACAGGAUUAGAUACCCGUGUAGUC